CAGCAGCCGCGGUAAUACGUAGNUCCCGAGCGUUGUCCGGAUUUAUUNGGCGUAAAGCGAGCGCAGGCGGUUUGAUAAGUNUGAAGUUAAAGGCUGUGGCUCANCCAUAGUUCGCUUUGGAAACUGUCAAACUUGAGUGCAGAAGGGGAGAGUGGAAUUCCAUGUGUAGCGGUGAAAUGCGUAGAUAUAUGGAGGAACACCGGCGGCGAAAGCGGCUCUCUGGUCUGUAACUGACGCUGAGGCUCGAAAGCGUGGGGAGCGAACAGGAUUAGAUACCCUGGUAGUCCACGCCGUAAACGAUGAGUGCUAGGUGUUGGGUCCUUUCCGGGAUUCAGUGCCGCAGCUAACGCAUUGAGCACUCCGCCUGGGGAGUACGACCGCAAGGUUGAAACUCAAAGGAAUUGACGGGGGCCCGCACAAGCGGUGGAGCAUGUGGUUUAAUUCGAAGCAACGCGAAGAACCUUACCAGGUCUUGACAUCCCGAUGCUAUUUCUAGAGAUAGGAAGUUACUUCGGUACAUCGGUGACAGGUGGUGCAUGGUUGUCGUCAGCUCGUGUCGUGAGAUGUUGGGUUAANNNCCGCAACGAGCGCAACCCCUAUUGUUAGUUGCCAUCAUUCAGUUGGGCACUCUAGCGAGACUGCCGGUAAUAAACCGGAGGAAGGUGGGGAUGACGUCAAAUCAUCAUGCCCCUUAUGACCUGGGCUACACACGUGCUACAAUGGUUGGUACAACGAGUUGCGAGUCGGUGACGGCGAGCUAAUCUCUUAAAGCCAAUCUCAGUUCGGAUUGUAGGCUGCAACUCGCCUACAUGAAGUCGGAAUCGCUAGUAAUCGCGGAUCAGCACGCCGCGGUGAAUACGUUCCCGGGCCU
rnacentral:rRNA from 1 species